AGCGUACACGGUGGAUGCCCUGGCAGUCAGAGGCGAUGAAGGACGUGCUAAUCUGCGAAAAGCGCCGGCGAGGUGAUAUGAACCUUUGACCCGGCGAUGUCCGAAUGGGGAAACCCAGUGUGAUUCGUCACACUAUCGUUAACUGAAUACAUAGGUUAACGAGGCGAACCGGGGGAACUGAAACAUCUAAGUACCCCGAGGAAAAGAAAUCAACCGAGAUUCCCCCAGUAGCGGCGAGCGAACGGGGAGCAGCCCAGAGUCUGAAUCAGCUUGUGUGUUAGUGGAACGGUCUGGAAAGUCCGGCGAUACAGGGUGACAGCCCCGUACACGAAAGCACACAGGUUGUGAACUCGAAGAGUAGGGCGGGACACGUGGUAUCCUGUCUGAAUAUGGGGGGACCAUCCUCCAAGGCUAAAUACUCCUGACUGACCGAUAGUGAACCAGUACCGUGAGGGAAAGGCGAAAAGAACCCCGGCGAGGGGAGUGAAAAAGAACCUGAAACCGUGUACGUACAAGCAGUGGGAGCACCUUCGUGGUGUGACUGCGUACCUUUUGUAUAAUGGGUCAGCGACUUAUAUUCUGUAGCAAGGUUAACCGUAUAGGGGAGCCGAAGGGAAACCGAGUCUUAACUGGGCGUUAAGUUGCAGGGUAUAGACCCGAAACCCGGUGAUCUAGCCAUGGGCAGGUUGAAGGUUGGGUAACACUAACUGGAGGACCGAACCGACUAAUGUUGAAAAAUUAGCGGAUGACUUGUGGCUGGGGGUGAAAGGCCAAUCAAACCGGGAGAUAGCUGGUUCUCCCCGAAAGCUAUUUAGGUAGCGCCUCGUGAACUCAUCUUCGGGGGUAGAGCACUGUUUCGGCUAGGGGGCCAUCCCGGCUUACCAACCCGAUGCAAACUACGAAUACCGAAGAAUGUUAUCACGGGAGACACACGGCGGGUGCUAACGUCCGUCGUGAAGAGGGAAACAACCCAGACCGCCAGCUAAGGUCCCAAAGUCAUGGUUAAGUGGGAAACGAUGUGGGAAGGCACAGACAGCCAGGAUGUUGGCUUAGAAGCAGCCAUCAUUUAAAGAAAGCGUAAUAGCUCACUGGUCGAGUCGGCCUGCGCGGAAGAUGUAACGGGGCUAAACCAUGCACCGAAGCUGCGGCAGCGACGCUUAUGCGUUGUUGGGUAGGGGAGCGUUCUGUAAGCCGUUGAAGGUGUGCUGUGAGGCAUGCUGGAGGUAUCAGAAGUGCGAAUGCUGACAUAAGUAACGAUAAAGCGGGUGAAAAGCCCGCUCGCCGGAAGACCAAGGGUUCCUGUCCAACGUUAAUCGGGGCAGGGUGAGUCGACCCCUAAGGCGAGGCCGAAAGGCGUAGUCGAUGGGAAACAGGUUAAUAUUCCUGUACUUGGUGUUACUGCGAAGGGGGGACGGAGAAGGCUAUGUUAGCCGGGCGACGGUUGUCCCGGUUUAAGCAUGUAGGCGGAGGUUCCAGGUAAAUCCGGUACCUUUUAACGCUGAGGUGUGAUGACGAGGCACUACGGUGCUGAAGUAACAAAUGCCCUGCUUCCAGGAAAAGCCUCUAAGCAUCAGGUAACAUCAAAUCGUACCCCAAACCGACACAGGUGGUCAGGUAGAGAAUACCAAGGCGCUUGAGAGAACUCGGGUGAAGGAACUAGGCAAAAUGGUGCCGUAACUUCGGGAGAAGGCACGCUGAUAUGUAGGUGAAGCCCCUGCGGGUGGAGCUGAAAUCAGUCGAAGAUACCAGCUGGCUGCAACUGUUUAUUAAAAACACAGCACUGUGCAAACACGAAAGUGGACGUAUACGGUGUGACGCCUGCCCGGUGCCGGAAGGUUAAUUGAUGGGGUUAGCGGCAACGCGAAGCUCUUGAUCGAAGCCCCGGUAAACGGCGGCCGUAACUAUAACGGUCCUAAGGUAGCGAAAUUCCUUGUCGGGUAAGUUCCGACCUGCACGAAUGGCGUAAUGAUGGCCAGGCUGUCUCCACCCGAGACUCAGUGAAAUUGAACUCGCUGUGAAGAUGCAGUGUACCCGCGGCAAGACGGAAAGACCCCGUGAACCUUUACUAUAGCUUGACACUGAACACUGGUCCUUGAUGUGUAGGAUAGGUGGGAGGCUUUGAAGCGUGGACGCCAGUCUGCGUGGAGCCGACCUUGAAAUACCACCCUUUAAUGGCUGGUGUUCUAACGUAGACCCGUAAUCCGGGUUGCGGACAGUGUCUGGUGGGUAGUUUGACUGGGGCGGUCUCCUCCCAAAGAGUAACGGAGGAGCACGAAGGUUAGCUAAUCCUGGUCGGACAUCAGGAGGUUAGUGCAAUGGCAUAAGCUAGCUUGACUGCGAGAGUGACGGCUCGAGCAGGUGCGAAAGCAGGUCAUAGUGAUCCGGUGGUUCUGAAUGGAAGGGCCAUCGCUCAACGGAUAAAAGGUACUCCGGGGAUAACAGGCUGAUACCGCCCAAGAGUUCAUAUCGACGGCGGUGUUUGGCACCUCGAUGUCGGCUCAUCACAUCCUGGGGCUGAAGUAGGUCCCAAGGGUAUGGCUGUUCGCCAUUUAAAGUGGUACGCGAGCUGGGUUUAGAACGUCGUGAGACAGUUCGGUCCCUAUCUGCCGUGGGCGCUGGAGAAUUGAGGGGGGCUGCUCCUAGUACGAGAGGACCGGAGUGGACGCAUCACUGGUGUUCGGGUUGUCAUGCCAAUGGCACUGCCCGGUAGCUAAAUGCGGAAAAGAUAAGUGCUGAAAGCAUCUAAGCACGAAACUUGCCCCGAGAUGAGUUCU
rnacentral:rRNA from 1 species